CUGCCGGCGACCGGCGCACGGGUGAGUAACACGUAUGGAACCUGCCCGCAGCAGGGGGAUAAGCGGAAGAAAUUCCGUCUAAUACCGCGUAACAACGUUGGGAGGCAUCUCCCGAUGUUUAAGGAUUUAUCGGCUGCGGAUGGCCAUGCGGCGCAUUAGCUAGUCGGCGGGGUAACGGCCCACCGAGGCGACGAUGCGUAGGGGUUCUGAGAGGAAGGUCCCCCACACUGGUACUGAGACACGGACCAGACUCCUACGGGAGGCAGCAG
rnacentral:rRNA from 1 species